rnacentral:rRNA from 1 species
UACGUAGGUGGCAAGCGUUGUCCGGAUUUACUGGGCGUAAAGAGCGCGCAGGCGGUCGUUCAAGUCGAGUGUGAAAGCCCCCGGCUCAACUGGGGAGGGUCACUCGAUACUGAUCGACUCGAAGGCAGGAGAGGGAAGUGGAAUUCCUGGUGUAGCGGUGAAAUGCGCAGAUAUCAGGAGGAACACCGGUGGCGAAGGCGGGUCUCUGGGCCGAUACUGACGCUGAGGAGCGAAAGCGUGGGGAGCGAACAGG